UUUCACGACUAACCUAGGUCGUUCCCUUUCCUCAACCUCCCCUUCUCCUCUCGAGCCCUCCCAUGCCGGCCGCCGUCGCUCGUUAGUCGUUGCCACUCCUUUGCACGGCUGCGACCUACCUGCAUCCCUGCACGCCGCCCUCACCACUCCCCUGUGAUCCUCUGUCCCGGCGCCGCUCCUCACCGCUGCCCUGCGACCCUCCGUCCUAGCGCGCCGCCCCUUGUCACCACCCCUGCAGCCCUGCAUCCCGGCGUGCCGCCCCUCGUAACCGCUCCGCUGCGACCAAUGGUGAAUCCAAGGUACGGCCAUGAACAAGCACAGGCAACCGCAUCCCUCGUUCCACAUCCGUAGCCCCUCGCGAUACAAAUGCAUCACCCACAUCUGUAGCCCCGUUCGUCCUCCUCCAGUGCUCCUCCUCCUAAUUGUUCUCCACUAUUCACGUGUCCUCCAUGUAAAACGAUCCAGGAAGCCUCUCCCCUUUUUUUGCGAAUAGGAAUCCUCUCCCUGAUCCCUGCUCUGCAACCUUUUAAUAUCCACUGCACCAGGACAUCCUUCCAAUUUCGCAUUCCGUGCCCAACCAAAACUGAAAUCCAAUGCAGUGGAGAAGGCGGUACAUCAAAGACAGUUUCUAUCUGAUUGGACAGCCCCUAUUGUUGGUGAAGUUGCCGAGAAGAGGAACUAUUUCUGGCGGGUUGCAGGUACAGAAGGAGCAAGAAGAGAACAUCUGAAGAUACAUAUUACUUGGAUGGCUAAAUUUGUGCUAUACAAGCAAUUAGGUGAUUCAGUUCAGCGAAGGCGUGGUCGUACCUCUGCACAGCAAACUCAAGCACCACUUCUAAUAUUGUUGGAAAGUGGAUAAGUCGGUUUGGAGCAGUACAUGAUUUGUUCAAUCUACUUCGCUAUGUUCCUUACAUGCAAAAGGAAAAGGUCAGUAACAAAAAAAGGAAGCUCACUGAGCACGUCAUUACAGAUCACCUAACGAAAGCCCAGGCGAUGAAGAGGAUAAUCAAGUUGAGAGCCCCCACCGAGGACGUAUAAUGGCUGAAUGAACUUCUCAUCUGCACUUUGGCUACAUCCCGUGCCUCCAGGUGUGUAGGUAUUGGCUUCAUACUGUUCUAUUUUAUGCACGCCCGUACUGGACUAGAGGUUUGAUUUCUAGGGCAAUUUCUUAUUUACUACUUUACACCUUUUUGCAUGAUGCAUGGAUGAGGAGCUCAUAUAAGUUUGGAGAGCAUGGAUCAUAUGAUUAGUUUCAGUGGGGCUAAGCUAAAAGAGGAUUAAUGAUGCUUACAAUACGUAUAUACACAGCCACGCAUUUUUUAUAUUGGUUCAAAACAUAAAUGGAUGAUUAUAUGGGUAUGUGGCAAAUAUACUGAUGAUGAUAAUGAUGAUGAUGAUGAUGAUGAUGAUGAUGAUGAUGAUGGAUGCUUUCAAUUUUAGUUAAGUUGUAGGACUGAUGUUCCUCUGUUAAGUUUUAGUUAAGUUGUAGUGAUGUUGAGGGAUGCUUUUGGUUUACAUUUUGUUUUCAAGAAAAUAUUUAGAUUAUGCAUCACAUUUGGAUGAUGUUCCUUAUGUAAUAUCCACUGUUGUAAUCCAACAAUUUUAUAUAAUAUAUGAUUUCUUCCUCCCGUGAGUA